rnacentral:rRNA from 1 species
GACGAACGCUGGCGGCGUGCCUAAUACAUGCAAGUAGAACGCACAGUUUAUACCGUAGCUUGCUACACCAUAAACUGUGAGUUGCGAACGGGUGAGUAACGCGUAGGUAACCUGCCUGGUAGCGUGGGAUAACUAUUGGAAACGAUAGCUAAUACCGCAUAAUAUUGAUUAUUGCAUGAUAAUUGAUUGAAAGAUGCUAUUGCAUCACUACCAGAUGGACCUGCGUUGUAUUAGCUAGUAGGUGAGGUAACGGCUCACCUAGGCGACGAGACAUAGCCGAACGCAUAGGGUGAUCGGCGACCCUGGAGCUGAGCCGCGGACCAGGCGCCUACGGGAGGCACCAGUAGGGAACGUGCGGCAGAGGACGAGAGUCUUGCCGAGCGGCCGCGCGCGAGAGGAGAAGGUUUUCGGAUCGUAAAGCUGGGUUGUAAGUGGAGAACGGGUGUGAGAGUGGAAAGUUCACGCUGUGACGGUAUCGUACCAGAAAGGGACGGCUAACUACGU